CCGCGAGCUGCGAGGAGAUGGCGGGCAGGCACGGGCCUUCGGGCGAGGAGCCCGCGGGAGUCGCGGAGCGGGCUGACAAGGCCGGAGGGCAGACCAAGUCCUCACAGAAAAUUGAAGACUUGAUGGAAAUGGUGAAGAAAUUGCAGAAAGCGGGAAGCCUAGAGCCCAGGGUUGAGGUCCUGAUAAACCGGAUUAAUGAAGUUCAGCAAGCAAAAAAGAAAGCCAGUGAGGAGCUGGGAGAGGCCCGGACUGUCUGGGAGGCCCUGCAGAAGGAACUGGACUCAUUGAGUGGAGAGAAAGCACGCGUGAAAGAGAUCUUGAGCAAAAAGCAAGAGACCCUGAGGAUCCUUCGGCUCCACUGCCAGGAGAAGGAAAGUGAGGCACAGAGGAAGCAAACCAUGCUGCAGGAGUGCAAGGAGCGAAUUUCUGCCCUGAACUCCCAGAUCGAGGAAGAGAAGAACAAACAGAGGCAGCUGAGGUUGGAUUUCGAGGAACAGCUAGAGGAUCUGAUGGGCCAGCACAAGGACCUCUGGGAAUUCCACGUGAGCCACUCAAAGCCACUCCUCCCACCUUCCACAUCUUCCCUGGCAGCACCAGGCCCAAACUCAGGGUCAUCCUCCAGACCUUCUUCCCUGACCUGCCACACCCAGUUCCUAAGCAAGCCCUGGUGGCCAUAUGUCAAAAUUGCCCUCAGCUCAGUCCCUCAUCAUCACCCACACUGCUACCCAGUGUCCUCCUCUUUGCUGGCCUGCCCAUCCAUCCCUGCGCCCUCCCAAGGCCCUUCAGUGGUCAGGAGGAAUCCUGAUGAACCAAGGAGGGAUCAUCCAUUGAGGAUAUCCAUGGAUGUGUUUGGGGCCAUCAGGGGCACAGGGCAGACGGUGGGGAACAAGCAGGCCCGUGUUUGCCACCUGGUUAUCCCAGGCGCCAGACAAGAAAAUAGGCAGAGAGAAUGGAUGUCAGGAUGGAAGGGCUCAGAGAGGACACCACACAGAGGGAAGAAGAGGAGCCAUAGUGCUGGGCUGGUAACUGAUUCUCCAGAAAACGACCCUGAUUUAUAGUUUUUGCAGGGUCCCCUGUAGUAAAUACUCAACCCAGGGCUGAUUUCAAAGCUUGCAAAAUUCCUGAACAUUAACCACCUCAUGAGCCUCUCCAGCCAGCACCACAGAGGCCAGAGCGGCUGGCCCAGGAGAUUGGCACCCUCAAUAGCAGCAAGGAGCAGUUGCUCAAAGAAGAGAAGCUGGUGGAGGUGAAGCU